rnacentral:lncRNA from 1 species
CCUCCCUUGGCUCCCCUGAGCAUCCUCAGCUGAGCUGCUGGGGUUUGGCCCUUACUGUCCCGUUUGUGCUUCUCUGUCUCCUGAAGGCUCUCAGCGUUGGAAGCCCCUGGCAAGAGCCAGAUGAGUCAGCCGAGGGCACUGUGCUGGCAGCUGCCCCUUCCCCGUGGGGUGACAGCUGGUGUGACCGCCUGGCCAAGUGCCUCCUGGGGGGGCGGCAUCUUCCCUCCAAGGCUCGUCACCAGGCGGCCUGGUGAGUUGUCGGUUUUUGCGUCUAUAGCCCUGACAACCCAGGUGGCAGAACAGACCUGCUGGGGGGUUGCAAGCCUGGAGGGGUCGCUGCUUCUCUGAUUGGACACUUGACUGCCACCUGGCUGCCUAGGUACUUAGAGAUCAGAACAUUGAGCUCUUGGUGGUACAUGGACUAUAUCUCCUUACUAUAGAAAUAUUACACUUUAUAGACGUAAUAGCCAAGACUCUCGUCAUUGCAAGUGACAGAAAACCSAACCCCAAAUGUUUAAAGCAGCAAAAAGGAAUUUAUUGGUUUAAGUCUAAAAACGYGAUGGCUUCAGGCACAGUUUGAUCCAGGGACUCCAGUGCUUUUGUCAGGACGUGCAUAUCUCCAGGUGUUCCUUGUUCUGCACGAGCUUCAUUCUUAGGCUC